rnacentral:rRNA from 1 species
CCUACGGGUGGCAGCAGUGGGGAAUAUUGCACAAUGGGGGAAACCCUGAUGCAGCGACGCCGCGUGAGUGAAGAAGUAAUUCGUUAUGUAAAGCUCCAUCAGUAGGGAAGUAAAUGACGGUACCUGAGUAAGAAGCCCCGGCUAACUACGUGCCAGCAGCCGCGGUAAUAUGCAGGGGGCAAGGGUUAUCCGGAUUUACUGGGUGUAAAGGGAGCGUAGACGGGAGUGCAAGUCUGGAGUGAAAGGCGGGGGCUCAACCGCAGGACUGCUAUGGAAACUGUACGGUUGGAGUGCAGGAGAGGUAAGUGGAAUUCCUGGUGUAGCGGUGAAAUGCGUAGAUAUCAGGAAGAACACCAGUGGCGAAGGCAGCUUACUAGACUGUAACUGACGUUGAGGCUCGAAAGCGUGGGGAGCAAACAGGAUUAGAUACCCGGGUAGUC